rnacentral:rRNA from 1 species
UACGGGGGGAGCAAGCGUUGUUCGGAUUUACUGGGCGUAAAGGGCGCGUAGGCGGCCUCUGCAAGUCGACUGUGAAAUCUCCGGGCUUAACCCGGAAAGGUCAGCCGAUACUGCAGGGCUAGAGUGCAGAAGGGGCAACUGGAAUUCUCGGUGUAGCGGUGAAAUUCGUAGAUAUUGGGAAGAACACCAGUGGCGAAGGCGGCUCACUGGCUCGUAACUGACGCUCAGGCGCGACAGCGUGGGGAUCAAACAGG